rnacentral:rRNA from 1 species
GGUAUUUUGACCGUGCAAAGGUAGCAUAAUCAUUAGUUUUUUAAUUGAAAGCUGGAAUGAAAGGUUGGAUGAAAAAAAAGCUGUCUCUAUUUAAUUUAUUUAGAAUUUUAUUUUUAAGUUAAAAAGCUUAAAUUUAAAUAAAAGACGAGAAGACCCUAUAGAGUUUUAUUAAUUUUUUUUAUGAAAUUAAUAGUAUUUUUUAUUUUUAUAAAAGGUAUUAAUUUAGUUGGGGUGAUUGAAAAAUUAAAUAAACUUUUUUUUUAUAUUUACAUUUAUAUAUGAUUAUUUGAUCCUCAAUUUGAGAUUAAAAGAUAAAAUUACCUUAGGGAUAACAGCGUAAUUUUUUUUGAGAGUUCUUAUCGAAAGAAAAGAUUGCGACCUCGAUGUUGGAUUAAAAUAAAAUUUUGGUGUAGAAGCUGAAG